rnacentral:rRNA from 1 species
AUACGGAGGAUCCGAGCGUUAUCCGGAUUUAUUGGGUUUAAAGGGAGCGUAGGUGGACAGUUAAGUCAGUUGUGAAAGUUUGCGGCUCAACCGUAAAGUUGCAGUUGAUACUGGCUGUCUUGAGUACAGUAGAGGUGGGCGGAAUUCGUGGUGUAGCGGUGAAAUGCUUAGAUAUCACGAAGAACUCCGAUUGCGAAGGCAGCUCACUGGACUGCAACUGACACUGAUGCUCGAAAGUGUGGGUAUCAAACAGGAUUAGAUACCCUGGUAGUCCACACAGUAAACGAUGAAUACUCGCUGUUUGCGAUAUACAGUAAGCGGCCAAGCGAAAGCAUUAAGUAUUCCACCUGGGGAGUACGUCGGCAACGGUGAAACUCAAAUGAAUUGACGGGG